rnacentral:rRNA from 1 species
AGUGAACGCUGGCGGUAGGCCUAACACAUGCAAGUCGAACGGCAGCACAGGAGAGCUUGCUCUCUGGGUGGCGAGUGGAGGACGGGAGAGGAAUACAUCGGAAUCUACUCUGUCGUGGGGGAUAACGUAGGGAAACUUACGCUAAUACCGCAUACGACCUACGGGUGAAAGCAGGGGACCUUCGGGCCUUGCGCGAUUGAAUGAGCCGAUGUCGGAUUAGCUAGUUGGCGGGGUAAAGGCCCACCAAGGCGACUAUCCGUAGCUGGUCGGAGAGGAUGUUCAACCACCCUCGAACUGAGACGCAGUCCACACUCCUACAGGGGGCAGCAGUGGGGAAUAUUGGGCAAUUGGCGCAAGCCUGAUUCAGCCGUACCGCGUGGGUGAAGAAUUCCUUCGGGUUGUAAAGCCCUUUUGUUGGGAAAGAAAUCCAGCUGGCUAAUACCCGGUUGGGAUGACGGUACCCAAAGAAUAAGCACCGGCUAACUUCGUGCCAGCCGCCGCGGUAA